rnacentral:rRNA from 1 species
UACGAAGGGGGCUAGCGUUGCUCGGAAUCACUGGGCGUAAAGGGUGCGUAGGCGGGUCUUUAAGUCAGGGGGGAAAUCCUGGAGCUCAACUCCAGAACUGCCUUUGAUACUGAAGAUCUUGAGUUCGGGAGAGGUGAGUGGAACUGCGAGUGUAGAGGUGAAAUUCGUAGAUCUACGAAGGAACGCCAAAAGCGAAGGCAGCUCUCUGGGUCCCUACCGACGCUGGGGUGCGAAAGCAUGGGGAGCGAACAGG